UAGUAACUGCGAGUGAAGCGGGAAAAGCUCAAAUUUAAAAUCUGGCGGCUUUUGGCUGUCCGAGUUGUAGUCUGGAGAAGUGCUUUCCGUGCUGGACCGUGUACAAGUCUCUUGGAACAGAGCGUCAUAGAGGGUGAGAAUCCCGUCUUUGACACGGACUACCAGUGCUUUGUGAUGCGCUCUCAAAGAGUCGAGUUGUUUGGGAAUGCAGCUCAAAAUGGGUGGUAAAUUCCAUCUAAAGCUAAAUAUUGGCGAGAGACCGAUAGCGAACAAGUACCGUGAGGGAAAGAUGAAAAGCACUUUGGAAAGAGAGUUAAACAGUACGUGAAAUUGCUGAAAGGGAAACGCUUGAAGUCAGUCGCGUUGUCCAGAACUCAGCCUUGCUUUUGCUUGGUGCACUUUCUGGUUGACGGGCCAGCAUCAAUUUUGAUUGUUGGAUAAAGGCUGGGGGAAUGUGGCACCUUCGGGUGUGUUAUAGCCCUCGGUCACAUACAACAGUUGGGAUUGAGGAUCUCAGCACGCCUUUAUGGUCGGGGUUCGCCCACGUUCGUGCUUAGGAUGCUGGCAUAAUGGCUUUAAACGACCCGUCUUGAAACACGGACCAAGGAGUCUAACAUGCCUGCGAGUGUUUGGGUGGAAAACCCGAGCGCGUAAUGAAAGUGAAAGUUGAGAUCUCUGUCAUGGGGAGCAUCGACGCCCGGACCUGACCUUCUGUGACGGCUCCGCGGUAGAGCAUGUAUGUUGGGACCCGAAAGAUGGUGAACUAUGCCUGAAUAGGGUGAAGCCAGAGGAAACUCUGGUGGAGGCUCGUAGCGAUUCUGACGUGCAAAUCGAUCGUCAAAUUUGGGUAUAGGGGCGAAAGACUAAUCGAACCAUC
rnacentral:rRNA from 1 species